GAUGAACGCUGGCGGCGUGCCUAAUACAUGCAAGUCGAGCGAACAGACGAGGAGCUUGCUCCUCUGACGUUAGCGGCGGACGGGUGAGUAACACGUGGAUAACCUACCUAUAAGACUGGGAUAACUUCGGGAAACCGGAGCUAAUACCGGAUAAUAUAUUGAACCGCAUGGUUCAAUAGUGAAAGACGGUUUUGCUGUCACUUAUAGAUGGAUCCGCGCCGCAUUAGCUAGUUGGUAAGGUAACGGCUUACCAAGGCAACGAUGCGUAGCCGACCUGAGAGGGUGAUCGGCCACACUGGAACUGAGACACGGUCCAGACUCCUACGGGAGGCAGCAGUAGGGAAUCUUCCGCAAUGGGCGAAAGCCUGACGGAGCAACGCCGCGUGAGUGAUGAAGGUCUUCGGAUCGUAAAACUCUGUUAUUAGGGAAGAACAAAUGUGGAAGUAACUAUGCACGUAUUGACGGUACCUAAUCAGAAAGCCACGGCUAACUACGUG
rnacentral:rRNA from 1 species